rnacentral:rRNA from 1 species
UACGUAGGGGGCAAGCGUAGUCCGGAAUCAAUGGGAGUAAAGCGCGUGUAGGCGGCUUCGUCAGUCCGUUGUGAAAGACCAGGGCUCAACCCUGGAAUGCCGAUGGAUACUGCGGAGCUCGAGUCCGGAAGAGGAGAGUGGAAUUCCUGGUGUAGCGGUGAAAUGCGCAGAUAUCAGGAGGAACACCAAUGGCGAAGGCAGCUCGCUGGGACGGUACUGACGCUGAGACGCGAAAGCGUGGGGAGCAAACAGG